GACGAACGCUGGCGGUGUGCUUAACACAUGCAAGUCGAACGAAGUGGCGAACGGGUGAGUAACGCGUAAUCAACCUGCCCUUCAGAGGGGGACAACAGUUGGAAACGACUUCUCAUACCGCAUACUGAAGGAGGGGAUUGCGUCUGAUUAGCUAGUUGGAGGGGUAACGGCCACCCAAGGCGAUGAUCAGUAGCCGGUCGGGUAGGAGGAACGGCAACAGUGGGAAUGAGACACAGCCAAGACUCCUACGUGAGGCAGCAGUGGGGAAUCUUCCGCAAUGGACGAAAGUCUGACGGCGAAACGCCGAGGGAGUGAUGACGGCCUUCGAGUUGUAAAGCUCUGUUAUACGGGUCGCGGUACCGGAAUAGAAAGCCACGGCUAACUACGUGCCAGCGGCCGCGAUAAUUC
rnacentral:rRNA from 1 species